rnacentral:rRNA from 1 species
AGAGUUUGAUCCUGGCUCAGGAUGAACGCUGGCGGCGUAGAUAAGGCAUGCAAGUCAAGCGGAUUAUUUUUUGAACGAGGCUGAGAUUACAUCAAGGCCGAGGGACGAAGAUGAUUAGCGGCGAACGAGUCAGUAAUACCUUGGUACGUACUCCGAAGACGGGCAUAACCAGCCGAAAGGUUGGCUAAUUCCCGAUAGUCCCGCAAGGGUAAAGGCGCAAGCCACUUUGGAAGCGGCCUAGGUCCGAUCAGCUUGUUGGUGAGGUAAUGGCUCACCAAGGCGACGACCGGUAGGGGGCCUGAGAGGGUGAUCCCCGACGACGAAACUGAGACACGGUUCGUACACCUACGGGUGGCAGCAGUCGAGAAUAUUCGACAAUGGAGGAAACUCUGAUCGAGUGACGCCGCGUGAAGGAAGAAGGGCUUCGGCCUGUAAACUUCUUUUCCUUGGGAAGAACUCUGACGGUACCAGGGGAAUAAGGGACUGCUAAAUUUGUGCCAGCAGCAGCGGUAAGACAAAUGUCCCGAGCGUUAUCCGGAAUAACUGGGCGUAAAGAGCGAGUAGGAGGAUUCGUUAGUCCUGCGUGAAAUCCAAGAGCUCAACUCUUGGGCGGGCGCGAGAAACGGCGAAUCUUGAGUCUGUCAGGGGCAAGCGGAACGUGCGGUGUAGGGGUGAAAUCCGUUGAUAUCGCACGGAACACCAAAAGCGAAGGCAGCUUGCUGGGACAGUACUGACUCUCAAUCGCGAAAGCGUGGGCAUAAAAAAGGAUUGGCAUGGGUAUCCAACUUUAUGAUAAAAUAAAGUUGGCAAACUAGUCCCUUCUAUUAGAAACAAUAGAAUGAAAACUUGGCUAUAUCGGUAGAGACCCGUUUUUAAGACGGAAAAUACCGAGGGAAGUUUUGGAGACUUAUAUCUAUAUUUAUAUAUGGUGAAUAUUAGACAUAAAGAGAAAAAAUUAAUUUUUUCUCUUUCAGAUCGUCAAAGAAAUAUUCUAAUAGGUUCUUUACUUGGAGAUGCGAAUAUACACAAGAAAGGUAGAGAAUCUAGAGUGUUCUUUAAACAUUCUAUAAAUCAAUUGCCACUACUUGAAUGGAAACGGCAGGAGUUUGAUGAAAUAACGGGCAUGGCGAUUGAUAGAUUUAAGCAGAAUGUUAAAGAUAAACAAUAUGAAUUUGUUCAAUUUGUGACACUAACUCAUUCAUCAUUUACUCAACUACAUAGAAUAUUCUACAAGAAAAAAAAGAAAGUCGUACCAAAAAAUAUCCAUCAACUGCUAAAAGAUCCAAUAUCUUUAGCAGUAUGGAUUAUGGAUGAUGGAGCAAAAGACAAUCUGGGUUUAACUAUUCAAACACAUAGUUUUAGAACCAAGGAGGUAGAGAGAUUAAUAUUAAUGUUAAAAAAGAAUUUUAACUUGAUUACUACUCCAAGGAAAAAUAGAGGCAAAGUUAUUAUUUAUUUUCCUAAAUCACAAAUAAGUGAUUUAUG